GCCUCAAUCUGUUGUGAUCCCUGCGAUAGGGAAGACGAGCAGGCUGCGCUCGUUGUAUCAAUUUUCUCCUGAGAUCAAGAAGAAGACCCCUGAAAAGGCGGUUACAUUCGUUGAGGCGGGG